rnacentral:lncRNA from 1 species
UGAGUUCCCUGUGAGGCCCUGAUGUUGUUUACGAUCACGUGUUGGCCAGGGAUCCUGGCCUCUGGAAACUUCCAUGGCAACAUUAGCACAGUAGGAGGGUUUGGAGAUCAGUCCACGAAUUUACCAUCCAGCGACAUUAACUGGUUUCUACUCACACCACUAAUGACAGUUUAGACACAGUCAAAACAGUGAUAAAUGGGCCUAGUUGGCCCAAGUUGAUGGAUUCAUAAAUAAAUAUUUAAACCACAGCCUUUCUCUGACAGCAGAGGCAUCAGACAGCAGAGACGCUAUAAGCAAAGAGUUAGGGAGUCAAGGGCCAUAGAAAACUCUUCCUGACACUUGGUUCAGGCUCAGAGGGCAACUGAAAUGUCCAUCUGGUUAACCAAGGAGGGCUUCCAGGAGGAGGUUCUGGGACUUCAAAGAGCCUCCAACUAGGCUCAGUUGUUCUUCCGUUUUCAUCAUCAUCUCAACAGUCAACUCUCUUUAAGUAUAAAACGGUACAAGAUGGGCUCUCAGUCUGCAGGUGGGUGAGUGGAGUCGUUUCCCCAGAUGUUUCACGAUUCCAGGCCUGGUCCCUUUAAGGCAUCAAAACUCAGAACAUUCUAUCAGCUGCCUCGGCCUCCCCGUGGCGCGCUUACGUCACCCUUCGGGGAAGCGGCUGACGUCAGCGCGUUCUUGGCGAGUGGGGCGGGGCCGGUGACUCACCCGGACCGCGCCCCUUGCUCACCGCCCCCGCCCGGCCGCGCGCACGUGAGCGCGCGCCGCGCGAGUUGCUAAUUUUAGCUCCGGCGGCUUCCCUGGGGUCCCGUGAGGUGAAGGCGAGUGGAGGGGACGAGGCGGGCAAGGAGCGCGGCUCUCCUUGUCCCUUCCUGCCCCGCCGUGGGUUUUCCUCGAGGACCGGGCCCGGCCCGAGGGGUGGGGGCCCGCGGGCGACUCGAGGUGCUGGAACGCGGGCGCUUACCGAGGCGAGAGCCUAGGGGUCUCCUCGCGUGGAAACCCCGCCCCUCCCUCGGCCCUGGACACAGUUGGCGCUCAAUAAAUGAAUCGAAGUUUCUUCCUGGACGGCGACCCUGGGCUUUCGGGAGAAAGCCAGAGGGGCAGGGUUCUGGAAGGUUCCCUGGCGGCUGGGGUGCGGUGCGGGCUGAAAUCCGAGCAGGAGCUGGGCGCGGCCCUCGGGGACCGACUAUGGGGGACGGCGCCGCGGGAGUGGGGCAAGUGCGGGCCUGGACCCUUGGGGCCACCGCGUCAGCAGUCGGCGGGGCCGUGGGAGGGACGGUGCCCGCCCGCUGUGAAGGGCAGUGGCCCUUCUAGGGUCAGGCCAAGCGCAGAGGCCUGAAGGUCACCGGGUGAGGAGCCAGCGCGGGUGCCUCAGAAGCCAAGCGCCCCGUCCCGAGGCCUGCGCGAACCAGUAUGACCUUCCAGGAACCAGAUGAGAGCUGCGUUUUCAAGAAGCAGUGCCAGACACCUUGGGAAAUCGACACUCUCCUGUCCUCGGGUGGGGGUGGGGGUCCUGGAAAGAAGCUCCGUCAGCGUAAAGUGAACUCUAGUUUUGACUUUGCAGAGGGAUCCGCUGUGUCACAGUGACCCGCAUUCCUGUCAUUGGUGUGGUGUGUUUCACAGCCAUUGCCUGCCUAGGUAGACUGUAAAACGGCGUUCGUAGAGCCUUUGACCUCAUAAUAUUAUGUUGGAAAUUACACGAUAGUAAACAUAAUGAUAAAUGGGGAAUGUUAAAUGGUAGUAUGGGAACAUUUUCUAAUGGUUGCAUCCUUAAAAUUUUCUAUUUCAAGUUUUUAAAGGCUAUAGCCUUAAAAAAAGCUGACCGUAGGAAAAUGGUGGAAAGAGUUGUGGAAUAAAGGUAGCUUUGGGGAUUAUGACAUGAAUAAAUGACAGAAAUUG